rnacentral:rRNA from 1 species
UACGUAGGGACCAAGCGUUGUUCGGAUUUACUGGGCGUAAAGGGCGCGUAGGUGGCGCGGUCAGUCACUUGUGAAAUCUCUGAGCUUAACUCAGAACGGCCAAGUGAUACUGCAGUGCUAGAGUGUGGAAGGGGCAAUCGGAAUUCUUGGUGUAGCGGUGAAAUGCGUAGAUAUCAAGAGGAACACCUGAGGUGAAGACGGGUUGCUGGGCCAACACUGACGCUGAGGCGCGAAAGCCAGGGGAGCAAACGGG